AUACGGAAGGUGCAAGCGUUACUCGGAAUCACUGGGCGUAAAGGACGCGUAGGCGGGUUGUCGAGUCAGAUGUGAAAUCCUACAGCUUAACUGUAGAACUGCAUUUGAAACUGGCAACCUAGAGUAUGGGAGGGGGAGAUGGAAUUAGUGGUGUAGGGGUAAAAUCCGUAGAUAUCACUAGGAAUACCGAAAGCGAAGGCGAUCUCCUGGAACAUAACUGACGCUAAGGCGUGAAAGCGUGGGGAGCAAACGGGAUUAGAAACCCCAGUAGUCC
rnacentral:rRNA from 1 species